GCCAAACCAAAGCAGUAGUGUGCCACAGAAGAGUGCAAACGUAGCACAGAGACACAGUCAGUCCACAUUCUGUUCUACACGCUGUUCUAUAUAUAUAUAUAUAUAUGUAUUAAGGCAAAAUAUCGUCGAAAAGAAACCAAAAAAGCGAGAAUAACGCAAAAAAAUCACAAAAAGAUUGCAAAAGUCGCAAGACAAAAUUACUUACUUCAAAUAAAAAUAAAAUCAAAAUCACAGCAAAAACAGAACAACAUUCGAGACGAAACUCCGAUUGUGCUGUCUGUGUGCGGUGUCCUUGUGUGUGUGCGUGCGGAGACACCAAAUCCAUGUGAAAGAAAACUAAAUAAAAAUACACACGAACAGGAAAAGACAAAACUUCUAAUGAAUCGUUGAGUCAAGUUGUCAAAACCUAAUAAAUCUUCUUCAUUAUCUGUGUGACUAUUUAUAGCAAUUUCUUACUCUGUCUAAAGACACUCCACUCCAUACAUCAGAUUUGUGUUACUUCCAUUUUCGCAAACAAUUAAAAUACUGUGCUUUUCUAGGAAAACAAAAAAAAGAAAAAUACUAAGUGAACUCUCUUCAACGAAUUAUACUUGUGCACUUUUCUUCAAGAAUAAACAAAUCUCCCACAUCGCUACUCUACUCUACAAGCACCCACGCUCACGCAGAGGCUAAACUUUGUCGUAUUCUUUGGUGGAGAAGGAUAAAAUUCUGGUCUUCAAAUCUAAUCUUAAGAUUUGAAAUAAUCUACUAACAACAUAAUAUUUUUGGUCAUCUAGGUA
rnacentral:sRNA from 1 species